rnacentral:rRNA from 1 species
GAUGAACGCUGGCGGCGUGCCUAAUACAUGCAAGUCGAGCGAACGGACGAGAAGCUUGCUUCUCUGAUGUUAGCGGCGGACGGGUGAGUAACACGUGGAUAACCUACCUAUAAGACUGGGAUAACUUCGGGAAACCGGAGCUAAUACCGGAUAAUAUUUUGAACCGCAUGGUUCAAAAGUGAAAGACGGUCUUGCUGUCACUUAUAGAUGGAUCCGCGCUGCAUUAGCUAGUUGGUAAGGUAACGGCUUACCAAGGCAACGAUGCAUAGCCGACCUGAGAGGGUGAUCGGCCACACUGGAACUGAGACACGGUCCAGACUCCUAAGGGAGGUAGCAGUAGGGAAUCUUCCGCAAUGGGCGAAAGACUGACGGAGCAACGCCGCGUGAGUGAUGAAGGUCUUCGGAUCGUAAAACUCUGUUAUUAGGGAAGAACAUAUGUGUAAGUAACUGUGCACGUCUUGACGGUACCUAAUCAGAAAGCCACGGCUAACUACGUG